rnacentral:misc_RNA from 1 species
GAUGAAGAACAUAGCGAAAUGCGAUACUUGGUGUGAAUUGCAGAAUCCCGUGAACCAUCGAGUCUUUGAACGCAAGUUGCGCCUCAAGCCAUUAGGUUGAGGGCACGUCUGCCUGGGCGUCACAUAUCGUUGCCUGAUGCCAGUUUCCUCGUGAUGGGUGACUGUGCAGGGCGAAUGAUGGCUUCCCGUGAGCAUUGUUGCCUCAUGGUUGGUUGAAAAUUGAGUCCUUGGUAGGGAGCGCCGUGAUAGAUGGUGGUUGAGUGACGAACGAGACCCAAUCAUGUGAGACCCCUACCGAAUUUGGCCUUCAUGACCCACAUGCGUCUUUGGAACGCUCAUGACGAGACCUCAGGUCAGGCGGGGCUACCCGCUGAGUUUAAGCAUAUCAAUAAGCGGAGGA